GCGAACAAAAAAUCGGACGACGCCCUAGCUCCCUCCGCCCGCGGGUCGCCCGCUCCCUCGCGCCCCUGUUGCUCCCUCCUCGAUCCCGAUCUGGAUCGAGGGGACGAGGAGCUCCUGCCUCCCCGACGGCCGACCUCCUCCUCGCCCCGCCGCUGCGUCCGGCGCCGCCACGGCCUCUGGAGCCAGGCAAGCCAUGGCCUGAGCUCGGCCUCGAGGUCCCCGCCGCCGUCUCCUGCAGCUUCUGCCCCGCCGCCUCAUCGCCCGAGCUCGCCGUCGCACCAACCUCGGCGCCGCGCCGCCGCCGGCUCUGGUCGCCUCCACCUCCGCGCCGUGAGGAACCCGCCACACGCGUCAAGGCGAGGCGCCUCCUGGGCUCCGUCCGUUUCCAGAGCGAGCGCCCGCGAAUACCUAGCUAGCCGCCGCCGUCGUGACCGUUCCAGCCACCGCCAAGGCCACACUUCCUCUUCCACCUCCGCGUACUCCUGGUUGCAGCCCCAGCUCUUCACGGGCAGGGAGAGAAGGGGGGCAUGAUCGGCGGGGCAGAGUUCUUUCGGAAGGACAGCGUGGUGGGCAACAUGGACGGAUACCUCAGCUACCUGUCCCUCGAGUAUGACUUCGUCUCGGACACCAAUCCUGCUUGGGUAUCUUCAUUUUGGAAGCAGGAAUCCUUUCCUCAUAAGAUGGAUGAGCUGUAGGAUUUGAUUCUGUUCAGCUUGAAUUAGUUUUUCAUCAUCAUGUUCUUUGUAUUAGGAAUUCAUGCCUUCCAGCUCUAAUUUUUUCGCAUUGUUGGUGUAUGCUGGGAGUCACAUUAUUAUGCUGCUAGCAAACAGUAGGAUUGGAAGUCUUACUCUGUAGGUUAGUAAUAUCUUUUCCACUAUACCGAGGUUCAGCAAUUUAAUUCGUAUUAAGGUCACACAAGCAGUUUGGUUUUCAGAUUUGUCUUGACAAACAUAUUUGGUUCAGCAAUUUAAUUCAUAUUAAAGUCACACAAGCAGUUUGGUUUUUGGAUUUGUCUUGACAAACAUAUUUUGCAGAUUAUCCUCACAUAUGAAAUUGAUUUCUGCAAGUUCCUUUCACUUCUUAUUUAUUUCUUCACUUUGUUAUGAUGUACUGCUAUUCGUUUUCAUGAUGAUUCAUGCGUUUUGUAGUUUUCACUGACAGAAUCUUGUCUUGAAACAAGAUUGGUUCCCAUUGUUACAGUGAAGUAGCUACCAAGCAGCGAGGCCAUCGAGUGACACGAGACCGCGGGACGGCGUGAGAAGAAGCAGGGGGGUGUCUGGCGGGAUGGAGAAGACCACAGGGAAGUGUGGCGAUGGAGUGCAAUCCCGAAGAAGAAGAACAUUGCAAAGAAAGACCCUGGCCAAGUGCCACCCAAUUCUCUUUCACCGACCCAUCUAAUGGCCAUCAAUUCAAUUGGUCCAAGCUGUUGUGUUGACCUUCCCAUUGAUCCACUACAUCCUCGCUCAGCUGGUUCUGCUAUGUUUCUUCUCCAUGGCAUUGCUGGUUGCCGGCGUGCCUGAUAUCGCGCCUUAUGUGACGUGACAUGAUGCUCCUCUAUGUGUUCUUCUCACCCCGGUUUCCAUGAGGAGAGAUGUUGUUCUGUGGUUCUGUAGUUCUACUCCAUAGCAAUGAUGGAGUCGCCUCCAUAUGGAUAGCAAUUAUCUCGGGAUCAUGAGAGCUGUCUACGCAACGGCCAGGGGGCAUAUGCUUCUCCUAGCACUAAGACCUCCAUCCUAUUUGAGCCAGAAUGGCUUUGGUGCCCUCUCUCGCUCAUGGUGAGGCCGUGCAUGCUUGCCAUGUUGUGGCUACGAAAUCUCAGACUGAGUCGCUUCGGUCGGGCACUAUUCAGAUGCUCUGUUUAGAAGAUGUCUUCUUCAGUAGUACUACAUAUUUUUAUGAUUUCCUGUAACUUGCUGAUAUGGCACUGGUUUGCCGCAUGGUGUGCUACAACUACACUCCAGGGGAAUAUUUGUUCAGAAUCUUCAGUCUUGUAAUUUUCUCCUUGAUGACAAUGACCAUGCUGUGCUGGGGGAUUUGGGAUUCCAUCCUUGCUGUUUGGACUUCCGCUGCCAAAUCCAGAUCUUAUCCAAAGACUUGGGACUCCAAAUUACAUGCCCCAGAACAUUGGCGACCAAACAUCAGAGGCCCAAUUAGUUACGAGACUGACUCAUUGGGGUUUCGCUUGGAGCAUUCUUGAGAUGUUCAGUGGCGUUCAAACUUGGUGUGCCAAAUCACCAGAUGAGAUUUAUUAGUCAGUUGUCCUGAAGAAAGAGAAACCGAUGUUCCUGUACAAUUUACCUACGGAGGUCGCUAAUGUCCUCUGGCUGCUAUGAGUUGGAGGUGACACAUGAACGCUGGCAACGCAAAAUAGCAGAUAUAAAAUAACUGCAGCUCGGGCCAUGUAGUUCUACAACAACCAAGGAAGAAGUCCGUUUUUUAAGCCGACCUUGGCCAAGCAUUUAAGCUUAUAUGGUUGCUCUCUAUUUUUCAGAGGUGCGUGUACUGAGGACGCCCAUGAUUUAGGGCCAAAAAUCUAGACAAAGUGACAAAACUUUGUACGAGACUUACUUGAAGCCAAGGAGGUCAGGAGAGGAGGACAACAAGGCUGGGGAGCGGAGGCGGAGACCGACGGGGAAGAGAAUGAUCAAGCAUGUAAAUCUAGAGCACAAGCUCGUGAUUUAUCAAGGGAGUGGCGCUGCCGCCGGAUUAGAAAAUCAUAUCUCACGUUAAGGUGUUUUUGUCUUUUGUUUCUGUACAAAUUUGGUGCAGGCAAGUUUUUGAUGAUAUAUAUAAGAUGACUAGCAUUAUCUUUUUA